rnacentral:rRNA from 1 species
AAACCAGGGUUAGAUACCCUAUUAUACUUAUAAAUGAAUUGUGGAAACGCUAGGAGAUUAAUAGUUAUGGUCUUUAAAUUUAAAGAAUUUGGCGGUAUCUUAGUCUUGUUAGAGGAACCUGUCUUAUAAAACGAUAAACCACGAAAAAUCUUACUUAUUUAAAAGUUUAGUUUGUAUACCGUCAUUAAAGAUAACUUUAAGAGAAAAAGUUAGUUGUUAAAAUUACUUGGGGUUAAUAUAUUAGAUCAAGGUGCAGUUAAUAAAUAAGGUAAGAUGGGUUACAAUAUAAGUUUAUAUAAACGGAUUAAGAAAUGAAAUAGGGUUAUAAAGGAGGAUUUAAUUGUAAGUAGAUUUUAGUAAGGUUUAUUGAUAAAGGCUCUAAGUUAUGUACAUAUCGGCCGUC